CCUUCCUUUCUGUCCUUCCCUCCUUCUGGCAUCUUCUGGCAUUUCCCCCAUCGAGCUCUUUCCCUGGCAUGUGUGGGCAGCUGCUGGUAGCUAUCCUGAGAUGUGACAUCAUGGGCGCUUUCAGGGAAGAAGCUGGCAGAGUGGCGAUUCCCGUGGCAGCCACUGGAGGGAGUUGGCCCCCCGGCAGGUGAAGGUUGUAGACUGCAGGAGGGCAUGGCGAGCGGGGCUGGGAGCCAGACCAUCUCCCCUCAUCAGGCCGAGAGACCCUGGGGGCCGCUUCUACCUGGAAGGGGUGGUGUCUCACUAACCACACCAGAUCAAUGUCGUUGGGGGACGAUCUAGACACAAGCGCUGUGAGAACGCUCCUUCGGGGGAACUUGACAAAUGCAUGCGUGUCUGGAGCUACCCCGUGCUGGAGACGUAGGACAUGCCCGUCGUCAGCUGGAAAGUUCCUCACAACCAGGCGCAGCCGAUUCCCCUGCCUCCAGCCUCAGGCGCCCACCGAUCGGCUUUCUGUCGCUAGAGAUGCGUUUUGCCUCCUCUCAGAUGUUACGUACAUGGAAUC